rnacentral:tRNA from 1 species
GAGGGUAUAGCUCAGUGGUAGAGUGCAAGCUUAGCAUGCACAAGGUCCUGGGUUCAAUCCCCAGUACCUCCA